GGCCUAACACAUGCAAGUCGGACGGUAACAGGAGAGAAGCUUGCUUUUCUUGCUGACGAGUGGCGGACGGGUGAGUAACGCGUGGGAAUCUACCCUUUAGUUGGGGACAACAUAUGGAAACGUAUGCUAAUACCGAAUAUGCUCUACGGAGUAAAGGUGCCCUCUCCUUGGAAGGUAUCGCUAAAGGAUGAGCCCGCGUUAGAUUAGCUAGUUGGUAGGGUAAAGGCCUACCAAGGCGACGAUCUAUAGCUGGUUUGAGAGGAUGAUCAGCCACACUGGGACUGAGACACGGCCCAGACUCCUACGGGAGGCAGCAGUGGGGAAUAUUGCACAAUGAGGGAAACCUUGAUGCAGCCAUGCCGCGUGUGUGAAGAAGGCCCGAGGGUUGUAAAGCACUUUCAAUUGUGAGGAAGAUUAAGUAGCUAAUACCUGCUUAGUUUGACGUUAACUUUAGAAGAAGCACCGGCUAACUCUGUGCCAGCAGCCGCGGUAAUACAGAGGGUGCAAGCGUUAUUCGGAAUUACUGGGCGUAAAGCGCGCGUAGGCGGACUGUUAAGUCGGUUGUGAAAGCCCUGGGCUCAACCUAGGAACUGCAUCCGAUACUGGCAAUCUAGAGUUUAAGAGAGGGAAGUGGAAUUCCAGGUGUAGCAGUGAAAUGCGUAGAUAUCUGGAGGAACAUCAGUGGCGAAGGCGACUUCCUGGCUUAAAACUGACGCUGAGGUGCGAAAGCUUGGGUAGCGAACGGGAUUAGAUACCCCGGUAGUCCAAGCCGUAAACGAUGUCAACUAGCUGUUGGUCUUAUUAAAAAGAUUAGUAGCGCAGCUAACGCGAUAAGUUGACCGCCUGGGGAGUACGGUC
rnacentral:rRNA from 1 species